UACGUAGGGGGGCAAGCGUUGUCCGGAUUUAUUGGGCGUAAAGAGCGUGUAGGCGGCCUGAAAGGUCAGCUGUGAAAACUCGAGGCUCAACCUCGAGACGUCGGUUGAAACCAUCUGGCUAGAGUCCGGAAGAGGAGAGUGGAAUUCCCGGUGUAGCGGUGAAAUGCGCAGAUAUCGGGAAGAACACCCGUGGCGAAGGCGGCUCUCUGGGACGGUACUGACGCUGAGACGCGAAAAGCGUGGGGAGCGAACGAGG
rnacentral:rRNA from 1 species